AACGAACGCUGGCGGCAGGCCUAACACAUGCAAGUCGAACGCACCGCAAGGUGAGUGGCGCACGGGUGAGUAACACGUGGGAAUGUACCCUUUGGUUCGGAAUAACGUUUGGAAACGAACGCUAAUACCGGAUGAGCCCUGCGGGGGAAAGAUUUAUCGCCAAAGGAGCAGCCCGCGUCUGAUUAGCUAGGUGGUGGGGUAAGGGCCUACCAAGGCGACGAUCAGUAGCUGGUCUGAGAGGAUGAUCAGCCACACUGGGACUGAGACACGGCCCAGUAUACUACGGGAGGCAGCAGUGGGGAAUAUUGGACAAUGGACGGAAGCCUGAUCCAGCCAUGCCGCGUGAGUGAUGAAGGCCUUCGGGUUGUAAAGCUCUUUCGCAUGCGACGAUGAUGACGGUAGCGUGAGAAGAAGCCCCGGCUAACUUCGUGCCAGCCGCCGCGGUAAAAC
rnacentral:rRNA from 1 species